GUACUCAUUGAGAAGCACAUAUAGUAAAAGUGUAACAAGGCAGGUAAGAUUAGCAUGAGCCCUGAGCAAAGACGAGGCACAGAUUCCUGAAGUCUUCCAUAUGCAA